rnacentral:rRNA from 1 species
CGGGGGACAACAUUUGGAAACAGAUGCUAAUACCGCAUAACAGCGUUGUUCGCAUGAACAACCCUUAAAAGAUGGCUUCUCGCUAUCACUUCUGGAUGGACCUGCGGUGCAUUAGCUUGUUGGUGGGGUAACGGCCUACCAAGGCGAUGAUGCAUAGCCGAGUUGAGAGACUGAUCGGCCACAAUGGGACUGAGACACGGCCCAUACUCCUACGGGAGGCAGCAGUAGGGAAUCUUCCACAAUGGGCGCAAGCCUGAUGGAGCAACACCGCGUGAGUGAAGAAGGGUUUCGGCUCGUAAAGCUCUGUUGUUAAAGAAGAACACGUAUGAGAGUAACUGUUCAUACGUUGACGGUAUUUAACCAGAAAGUCACGGCUAACUACGUGCCAGCAGCCGCGGUAAUACGUAGGUGGCAAGCGUUAUCCGGAUUUAUUGUGCGUAAAGAGAGUGCAUGCGGUUUUCUAAGUCUGAUGUGAAAGCCUUCGGCUUAACCGGAGAAGUGCAUCGGAAACUGGAUAACU